UACGGAGGGGGCUAGCGUUGUUCGGAAUUACUGGGCGUAAAGCGCACGUAGGCGGCUUUGCAAGUCAGAGGUGAAAGCCCGGGGCUCAACCCCGGAAUUGCCUUUGAGACUGCAUCGCUAGAAUUGUGGAGAGGUAAGUGGAAUUCCGAGUGUAGAGGUGAAAUUCGUAGAUAUUCGGAAGAACACCAGUGGCGAAGGCGACUUACUGGACACAUAUUGACGCUGAGGGGCGAAAGCGUGGGGAGCAAACAGG
rnacentral:rRNA from 1 species